GCUGUUCUUGCUGCUGGAAUGCUCUUUCCCGUAUCCUUUUGGCUUGUUGUUUCAUUUCCUUCAGCUCUCUAUUCAGAUGUCUCCCUCUCACCCAGGUCUCUGCGGACCACCUGAUAUAAAGUGCCAUGCUGUGAGCUGCCCAAGGGACAGGCCCAUGUGGCAAGGAAUGGACCUCAACCAAGAACCCUCAGAACUGAAUCCCUCCAACAAAAAAGAGAGAGAGCUUGGAAGCAAAUCCUUCCCUAAGCAGAUCCUUCCCCAGUCAAGCCUUAAGAUGAGAAUGCAGCCCCAGCCAACACCUGGACUGUGGCCUAUGAGAGGCCCCAAAGCAGAGGACCUAACUAAGCCACACCUGGAUCCCAACCUACAGAAAUCAUGAGUUAAUAAAUGUUGUUUCAAGCCACCAAGGUUGGGAAGUAAUUUGUUAUGAAGCAAUAGAUAAAUAACACAGUUUAUUUCAGAGGUAUCUGCCAUGCCUAAGCAGUGUUUGUUGUGGAAAAUUAUGUUCAGUUUGCAAGGAGUCAUUUAGGGUGCUGAGGAAGAGCACAAGCUCUGAAGUUGGACAGCCCCGAAUUCACAUUCCAGCUCUGCUCCUGACUUGCUGUGCGAUUUGGGGAGAGUCAUUUCACCUCUCUGGACCUCAGUUUUCUCAUGCACAAAUGUAGCUUCCUAC
rnacentral:lncRNA from 1 species